AAGAACAGAAGCAGUUAGGAGGCUAAUUCAGGUGAGAAAUGAUCGUGGCUCAGGCCAAGUUAAUAGCAGUGGAAGCGGAGACCAGUGGUUGCAUUCUGGAUCUAUUUCGAAAGUAGAGCCAAUCAGACUUGGUGAUUGAUUGAUUGUAGGGCAUGAGAAAGAAAGGGGAAUAAAAGCUGAUGCCAGCAUUUUUGGCCCUGAGCAAUGGGAAGCAUGGUGUUAUUCCUGGCAGGAUGGAGAAGACUGAAGUGGAGUGUGUGGGAGGGAACAAGGGUCAGGAGUUUUGUUUGGACAAGUUAACUGUGAAAUCCCGCUGGACGACCAAGUGAAGUCAUAGAGGAUACUGGUUUAUAUAUGGGUCUGGAGUUCAGGACGGAAUUCCAAGCAGGAACUAUAGACGUGGUAGUUUUCCUGUACAGAUGGUGUUUGCAGCCUGAAGUGGAUGAAAUCACCAAGGGAAUGGGUAGAUACUCAACCAUCCCGUCGACUGAAAAAAAUGCACAACCUAAAAACUGAGAAUUAUGUUUUAUUCAGUGGACUUUCAAGGACUUAAGCCUGGGAUACAGCCUCUCAGAUAGCUCUGAGGGACUGCUCCAAAGAGAAAGUUGGGAUAAUAUUCUUCAGCAAAAAUCUAGCGGAGAUCAGUUAAUGGAUAUAAAGGAGGCAGGAAGUACAGCAUCCAGCAAGGAGGCGCUCAGUAAAUGGACUUUAUCCCCACCAAGUUGGCUACCCUCUCUGUGUGGCAACUUCCUCACCUCAUCCCAGCUCACUCCCACAGAAACCCAGGAGCACCAAGUAAGAUACUGCGACAAGCACACUUUGAAAAGUAUGACGUUCUACAUACAAACACAGGGAAUUAUUAUGAUUAAAGGUGAAGAGGAGAAGCACUGGAAUCUAAAGACUUGGGAGCCUGAGGGGAAACUGAAAAUAUAAAACAUACUUGAAUGAGAACAUUUAAUAGCAGUGGCAGUCACUUAAGCUGAUACCUGCUACAGAAUCUGAGUUUGGAAAACCAACUUCUUGGGACAUCUCCAUCCACCCAGCACUUUCUGAUAAAAUGGUCUAACUCAACACAGGUAUACACCCAUCCUGAGGCCCCAUUUGGUCCGGGAGUGGCCUGAGGGUGGGGAGAACGGGUUGUCUCAGGAGGGUGUGGGAUGAGGGUUUGCCACCUGUCUGCGAGCAGUGACUA